CCCCGUACCUCCCAGCCUCCUCCUUGCAGCUAGGGGACGCCACGGCCCCCCCCCAGUCCCGGCCAUUCUAAGUAUGAGAAGUCAUUGGGUGUGAUUCCGGGGAAGGAUGUUGCAAAGGAACAUUUAGCCAGAUCCCUCCACUUCUUGCCCUUUGUACAAACAGACAUGAUGCCCAGUGCUCGAGAAGCCAUCCCACGGCCAUGAGGGUUGACCAUCCUGGCUCCCCAGCUGGUAUCUUUGUGUGGCUGCCCCAGACUGUUUGUUUCUGAAUAUCUUGUUACGUGGAAAAGGUUUUGCUGUCGGGAAUAAAGCUUCUGUGGAUGUUCUCGUGCAAGUCUUACGGUGAACCAGUGUUCUAACUUCUCUUGGGUGCAAGCCUGGAGUGGAAUCGCUGGGUCAUCACGUAGGCAGAUCUUGAGCUUUGGCAGAUGCUGCCAAGAGGUCUCCAAAGUGGCCGAAACAAUUUAUGCCUCCGUCAUCAGGAAAGUUUCGUUCGCUUCACAUCCUGAUAAUGCAUGCUCCUGUCAGUUUGAUUUGAGCUACGUCACUGGAUGUGGUGGGUUUUGUUGUUCCCUCUCAUCAAGAGGUGGAGUUUAUUUCUCUACCCCUUGAAGAUGCGCUUGAUCGCACGACUUUCUUUGGCCGAUGGAACGUUAUCAAACAUGGCAGGAGCAGACGCUUGAAAAACACACGCCGGGGUUUGCCCACUUGUUGUUAUGGUUCGAGUCGUAAGAGCAAAGUGUGAAGACACCUGGGCCAACCUCUCCCCUAGGAUGCGAGGGUCCUUGCUGACAGCUGGCACCACCCACGGGCAGGCGAGUGAGGCCAUCUUGGACCAUCCAGCCCCAGGCAAGCCAUCAGGUGACCUCAGCUGCACAAGUGACCCUAGGUGAGACCAUCAGAAGAACUAACUGCCCAGCUGAGUUCAGCUCAGAUUGCUGACUCACAGAAUUAGGACCGAAUUAUGAGCAUAUAAGGUAACGGACACAGGAGUGAGCGAUGGGGACAGGGCGCUGCUGUAGCAAACAUUUAAAAUGUGGCAUUGACUUUGCAAGCUGGCAGUAAGGCAGCAGCUGUAAAGGGGUGAAGAAAUUUCAGCCGGAAGCGUGAGGAAACUGCCAGACGUUAGGAAAAGGCUAUGUGGUUAUGUGGUAUGAGAACCACUGGCAAAAGUGUUGUUGUGGCAACUUGGGGAAGAUAGGCUGUGAACUUGUGGGUCUGGUUGAGGAGUGGGGGGGGGGGGGAGCUUCCCCCCAUCUCUGGCCCUCCCCCCAGCCUUCCUCAUGACCUUCUGAGCCCACGUUGGACGCCUAACCAACUGAGCCACCCAGGCGCCCUAUCGAGGUUUAUAUUUUUAUAACGGUAUUACACGAGCGGCCGUGAAACUGGAGGCAGACCGUGCGACCAGGGGAGCUAAGCAGGGUAGGAUUAAGUCACCUCCCAGGAUU